UCCCUGGUGGUCCAGUGGUUAAGACUCUGUGCUCCCACUGCAGGGGUCUCAGAUUCAAUCCCUGGUUGGGGAA
rfam:TPA: Bos taurus chromosome 21, whole genome shotgun sequence.